UACGUAGGGGGCGAGCGUUGUCCGGAUUUAUUGGGCGUAAAGAGCUCGUAGGCGGUUCGAUAAGUCGGACGUGAAAUCUCCACGCUCAACGUGGAGGGGCCGUUCGAUACUGUCGUGACUCGAGUCCGGUAGGGGAGUGUGGAAUUCCCGGUGUAGCGGUGAAAUGCGCAGAGAUCGGGAGGAACACCCGUAGCGAAGGCGGCACUCUGGGCCGGUACUGACGCUGAGGAGCGAAAGCGUGGGGAGCAAACAG
rnacentral:rRNA from 1 species